rnacentral:tRNA from 1 species
GUCGGCGUGGCGGAACUGGCAGACGCGCCGGACUUAGGAUCCGGUGGGGCAACCCAUGGAGGUUCGAGUCCUCUCGCCGACACCA